AACGAACGCUGGCGGCAGGCUUAACACAUGCAAGUCGAACGCCCCGCAAGGGGAGUGGCAGACGGGUGAGUAACGCGUGGGAACGUACCCUUUACUACGGAAUAGCUCAGGGAAACUUGUGCUAAUACCGUAUGUGCCCUUCGGGGGAAAGAUUUAUCGGUAAAGGAUCGGCCCGCGUUGGAUUAGCUAGUUGGUGGGGUAAAGGCCUACCAAGGCGACGAUCCAUAGCUGGUCUGAGAGGAUGAUCAGCCACAUUGGGACUGAGACACGGCCCAAACUCCUACGGGAGGCAGCAGUGGGGAAUAUUGGACAAUGGGCGCAAGCCUGAUCCAGCCAUGCCGCGUGAGUGAUGAAGGCCCUAGGGUUGUAAAGCUCUUUCACCGGUGAAGAUAAUGACGGUAACCGGAGAAGAAGCCCCGGCUAACUUCGUGCCAGCCGCCGCGGUAA
rnacentral:rRNA from 1 species